ensembl:lncRNA
CGGUGGUGGUGGUGGUGGCGGUGUUGUUGAUGUUGAUGGUGACGAUGGCGGGGCUGAUGUUGAUGGCUGUGGUGAUGAUGAUGGUGGUGAUGAUGGUAAACCUGCGCCUAUGGUGGCGGGGGAUGAUGAUGACGAGUUGCAUACUAGAUUAUUUCCCCACUUUAACGGUUUUGAGGUUAGACAGUCCAUUGAUCUGAGAAGUAUAUCCCUUGUAAACAUACAAGAGGCCCCUGAUUUGAUCAGGGAGAGGCUGUCGGGGGUCAUAACAAACUGCUCACAAAGUACAGCCGACGGUAGUGUCUUAAACGUUGUUUUGAGAGGGCCUUCACUGGCAUCUGAUGUGCAGGCUGUGCUCGUGGCAGGUGAUGAUUACAAUGCGGACUUGUUUAUGGAUCAUAUUAGCCAAGUCAUACAGAGUAACGACACAGGUCUGACGGAUGACGUGUUAGAGCUGGUGGUCACAGGGGUCCAUAACAAACAGGGUGGUGGGCGUUUGAAGUUAAAAACAAUUCCCUAUGAUGACAUCAUAAACAAGAAGAAAUUAAAUCUCUACACACCUAGUAACACACAUGACAAUUUGUGUUUCUCACUAUGCAUGAUACAUUUUCUGCAGGAGGGGGUAACCGGAGGCAACACAGUGCCCGAAGAGACUAAUUUGGAGGCGGCUCGCAAAUUACAUAGGGAGCUGGGGUACGGUCCAGAUCACUCUGUGGGUUUCUCGGAUGUUUUCAAAUUUGAGAGACAUCUAGAUGUUAAAAUCUUAAUAUUUCAUCAUAAUGAUGCAUUCAAGAAGCUGGAGAUGUUCCAGACGCAUACGGGCCACCAUCCUAAAACAAUAUGGUUGUACCUACAUGAUAACCAUUAUCAUCGUAUAGUGAACCGCACGGCUUUCUUUGGUACGCGACAUGUGUGUGAAUAUUGUUGCAAGGCCCACGAGGGAAUUCUAUUACACAAAUGCCCGGUCCAUUGCAAUGUGUGUCUGACAGUGUGCGAUAGCCUGGCAGGUCGUACUAUAAAGUGCACAGACUGUAGUCGUAUAUGCCGCUCGCAGGUCUGCUACGCCACACAUAAGAAACAUUCUGCCGUACAUAAAAUGAUACCAUGUGAAAAGAUCAAAUACUGCAAUCAGUGUUGUAGACAGUAUAUCAUACCGCAGAAGAAAAAGAAGAGGGGGGAGGAGGAGGAGGAGGAUGCCUAUAAAGGUCAUGUAUGCAGUGUGUCAAAGUGUCAUCACUGCGGUGAACCGAUACUCAGCGACACUGUGCAUGAAUGUUUUAUCCAGCCGUACGACCGCCUUAAGAAAUGCAAACGCAAGGGUCGACGCAAAGGUCGGGGGAACCGACCUUGAAUAUCUAUCCCACUCCAAUAACCUGGAGAUUCAGCACGCUCUCAAGCACGGGGAGGCUGAAUAUGGUCCAUUCUUCCUAGAUGGAUAUGCACCGGCUAUAAACACAGCCUAUGAAUUUGCAGGAUGCUUUUAUCAUGGGUGUGAACGUUGCUACAAUGCUGGGCACCAGAAUCCUGUCGUCAAAAAGACCUAUGGUGAAUUAUGGUUGCAGUUUCACCUCAAAGUCAAGGCCCUCAAAAGAGAUCAUGGUUUAAGAGUUGUGGUCAUGUGGGGAGUGUGAGUUGGCACUAGACAGAAAAGAAACAGGACAGAUGCUGCAGUGCAGGCAUUCUUGGCUACUCUGAAGAUACAACCCAG